CCACUUUGGUAGUGCAUCUAAUUCAACUUUGGAAUGAUACAGAAGAGGUUAGCAUGGCCCCUGCAUGAAGAUGACAAACAACUUCAUGAACAGUUCCAUACUUUU